rnacentral:rRNA from 1 species
UAGCAUAUCACUAAGCGGAGGACAAGAAACUAACCAGGAUUUCCCUAGUAACGGCGAGCGAACCGGAAAGAGCCCAGCUUGAAAAUCGGGGCGUUUUGCGCCCCGAAUUGUAGUCUGGAGAAGGUCCCUCUGCGACGCGCCGGACCCAAGUUCCCUGGAAAGGGACGUCAGAGAGGGUGACAACCCCGUCGAGUCCGGAGUUCGUCGCUCCACGAGGACCUGUCUGCGAGUCGGACUGUUUGGGAAUGCAGUCCUAAGUGGGAGGUAAAUUCCUUCCAAGGCUAAAUAUUGGCAGGAGACCGAUAGCGAACAAGUACCGCGAGGGAAAGAUGAAAAGGACUUUGAAAAGAGAGUUAAAAGUGCUUGAAAUUGCUGGGAGGGAAGCGAAUGGAAGCUGCGGGUGCACCCCGGUUGGAUGUGGAACGGCUCGCGCUGGUCCGCCGCUCAACGCGGGGUGCUGGUCAGCGUGGGCUACCGCGGCGGGACAAGUGCGGGAAAUCGUUUCCCGCCCAUGCCGUUGCGGUGGCCGAGGAACGAAGCGCGCGCUGUCAAAGGCGUGGUCUCGACCAACUGCGCGCUCGGGACGCUGGCGUAUUGAGCUCUUCAUCCGACCCGUCUUGAAACACGGACCAAGGAGUCUAACAUGUAUGCGAGCCGGUGGGCGGCAAACCCAUUGAGGCGCAAGGAACCUGACAGGUGGGAGCCCGUUGAGGGCGCACCAUCGACCGACCGUGAUCUUCUGUGAAGGGUUC